CCCUUGACGCGGCAGGCCACCAACGCGAGUCCGUGACUCCGGCGAGUUGCCCUCGAGGCGGGCGGCGACCCACGCCAUAACCCUAGGCCGGCUGCGUCGACCUGCGCCAGUGGCCUCUGGCGGAGCGGUUGCCCGGCCACCGUCGAGCGCGGCCACCCCGACGGUGCGGCGGCCGCCCAGUACGGCACGCGGCCCCGCCGGUGCCCGCGGGCACGGCCACCCCGCGUGGAAGUCGGAGGUGCGAGGUCGCGCUGCUGAGCGCCGUCCGCCCCCUCCCCCCCUCCCCCGAGGUUGCGACGUCGUCGCUGGUCGCCGCUGCGCCGCCGAUGCCGCGGGGCUGCAUGUCCGCCCUCUCCGGCUUCGUGCUCCGCCUCUAUCAACAACAUGCGCUCGACCCCUCCCUCUUCCCGGCUCUAGAGGCCUGACGCUGUGCCGCGCCCGCACGGGUGCCCCAGCGCUCGCAAGCCCUCCAGCGCAACCAGAUACAGGUACUAUCUCCACCCUACCCGCCCUCGUCCGCACAGAUGAUGUAAUGUUUGUUGUCGCCAUGUCGCGUGCGCUUGAGUUUGCCGGCGGCUCCGCACAAGGGCUUCUCCCUCCGUCGGCCGACACCUCUUGACCUUCCUCUACAUGGGGGCCAUCGAAAUGUGGAGAAAUUCUGGAGAAGAAGAAGGCUACUGUGCUUUGCUUCCUUGCAAAAAUCUGAGGUAGGAGUGCAAGUGCUGUAUAUUAUACCUUUGUUUUGACACUUUGCUUGGUGGGAAAGAGCAGCAAAGCAACAAGGUGUCCAUGGUGUGCUUCUGCUUUAGGAACAUCUGAAAUAUCCUUCCUUUAUUGUCAGAUACAGAGUGCCUUGGUAUCUCGCUCUCCAUCUCUAUGCCACUCUUCAAACUAGUGUUGGCGGCAUGUAGAGAUGACUUCGAAGACAAUGGAAGGAAACUAUUUGCAUCUAUUAUAUGGCUUAAGGUAAAACACAUGAGAUCACCAAGCUCAGCUUAUGAUAUUAUGUUCCUUCUCUCAUCUAGCACGGCCUAUGUAAUUUAUUUCACGACCUGCAGAUCAGAACCAUGUAAUUAGUUGCCCUAGGGGUUCACUGUUGCCUCAAUUUGGGUCUUGUUUCUUUGAUUUAGUGUAUCCAUACUUCGAUUUCGUCAAUAUAUAUUUUCUUUUAGUGAGCAACAACAAAGUUCUUCCAUAGCUUCGUACUGUAUUUGCAGCAAUAUCAAAAUGAAAUGAUCAUCGAAUUUGCAGCAUUUGCGCACUGCAGAGACAUUUGUUAGUUUUCAAAGUUGCAAAAAAAGCAGCCCAGUGCCAGGCAGCUCCCAUUUGAGUGUGGUCUGGAGAAGGGUAUGUCUUUUAUGUUUGUGUUGCUUCACUCUUACCAUCAUGUAUUCAUAAAUAAACAUAUUCCUAUACAAUUCUAUGUCCACAUGCUGAAACUUUAUUCAGAGUACAUUAUGAGCAGGUUUGAUGCGGUUGCAAUCUUGCACACUCAUACAGUACCCUCAGGUGUAGUGUGCAAUAUGAGGCUCUCUUAAACACAGUUAUACCACAUUCCAUGCUUCCAUCCUUUAUUUCUUUUUUCCUUUCUUCUAAGCAGGGUUUUUAAGGCGUCGCCUAGGCGACAAGGCGGUUCCCCAUCGCCUUGCUUAAGGCUCGCCUUAGCCCGCCUAGGCGUCACCUAGGCGACUAAGCGGCUUCCCAUCGCCUCGCCUCGCCUUACCGCUUUAAAAACCUUGCUUCUAAGAGUGAAGUUGUAUUUACAUUUCCUGUUAGUCCAAUGUGCAUACUAUUUCAUCGAAUGAAUUGCAAUGGCCUCCACCUUAGCUGAGAUAUCCAUAAAUUGUUUGAUUUUCUUUCUUAUGUCAAAUCCAAAAAUUAGUUUUUUUUUCUCUAACUGAAGUUAUUUGCUUUUCUAGGUAGCAACUCCAUGACAUUGGUGAGCCACGACCAGUGAACUUACCUAUAGUCCCUUUUCCUGAUGGACACAACAACGCUAACCUUUGCAUAAAUAGGUUCCUACAAACACUGCUCAAAAUCUAAAAGAGAUGCUAAUCAAAUACUAGCAUUGUUAUAGCUGUUGUUCUUACUGUAAGCAGACAUUUAAAUUGACUUCUCUUUCUUCGUGCUUUUAACUGCUACUACGUAUGGAUAUGUACCAAAACAAAACACCAUAUAUGUAUGCACAUCUCUAUCUUUUUAUUGAACAUUUAUGUAGUUA